CCUACGGGAGGCAGCAGUGGGGAAUAUUGGGCAAUGGGCGCAAGCCUGACCCAGCAACGCCGCGUGAAGGAAGAAGGCUUUCGGGUUGUAAACUUCUUUUAAGAGGGAAGAGCAGAAGACGGUACCUCUUGAAUAAGCCACGGCUAACUACGUGCCAGCAGCCGCGGUAAUACGUAGGUGGCAAGCGUUGUCCGGAUUUACUGGGUGUAAAGGGCGUGCAGCCGGGAAGACAAGUCAGAGGUGAAAUCGCGGGGCGGAACCGCGGAACUGAUUUUGAAACUGUUUUUCUUGAGUGCAGGAGAGGAAGGAGGAAGUCGUGGUGGAGCGGUGAAAUGCGGAGAGAUGAGGAAGAGCGA
rnacentral:rRNA from 1 species